GUUGGGCAUCGUAAGUUUAGCAAGUUCUAAAGUAUAAAAACCAUUUUAUUUAAUUUAAAGAAGAUAAAGGGUUUUUGUCAAUGAGCCUGCAACCCAAGAACACUACAAAGCAAAGAAGACACCAACAAUUUGCCAGUUAAUUUUCUAAUACCGUCUUAAAAAUUUAAAUAUUUUAUGAAUCCUGCUUUGAACUAGUGAAACGAUAUC
rnacentral:lncRNA from 1 species